rnacentral:rRNA from 1 species
UGGGGAAUAUUGCACAAUGGGCGCAAGCCUGAUGCAGCCAUGCCGCGUGUGUGAAGAAGGCCUUCGGGUUGUAAAGCACUUUCAGCGAGGAGGAAGGUGGUGAACUUAAUACGUUCAUCAAUUGACGUUACUCGCAGAAGAAGCACCGGCUAACUCCGUGCCAGCAGCCGCGGUAAUACGGAGGGUGCAAGCGUUAAUCGGAAUUACUGGGCGUAAAGCGCACGCAGGCGGUUUGUUAAGUCAGAUGUGAAAUCCCCGGGCUCAACCUGGGAACUGCAUUUGAAACUGGCAAGCUAGAGUCUCGUAGAGGGGGGUAGAAUUCCAGGUGUAGCGGUGAAAUGCGUAGAGAUCUGGAGGAAUACCGGUGGCGAAGGCGGCCCCCUGGACGAAGACUGACGCUCAGGUGCGAAAGCGUGGGGAGCAAAACAGGAUUAGAUACCCUGGUAGUCCACGCUGUAAAACGAUGUCGAUUUUGGAGGUUGUGCCCUUGAGGCGUGGCUUCCGGAGCUAACGCGUUAAAUCGACCGCCUGGGGAGUACGGCCGCAAGGUUAAAACUCAAAUGAAUUGAC